CCUACGGGUGGCAGCAGUGAGGAAUAUUGGUCAAUGGGCUUACGCCUGAACCAGCCAAGUCGCGUGAGGGAAGACUGCCCUAUGGGUUGUAAACCUCUUUUGUAAGGGAGCAAUUGGCGCUACGUGUAGCGUUAUCGAGAGUACCUGAAGAAAAAGCAUCGGCUACCUCCGUGCCAGCAGCCGCGGUAAUACGGAGGAUGCGAGCGUUAUCAGGAUUUAUUGGGUUUAAAGGGGGCGUAGGCGGAAUGCCAAGUCAGCGGGAAAGUAGCGGGGCUCAACCUCGCUCCGCCGUUGAAACUGGCGUUCGUGAGUGCGCGAGAGGUAUGCGGAAGGCGGGGUGUAGCGGUGAAAUGCGUAGAUAUCACGCAGAACUCCAAUUGCGAAGGCAGCAUACCGGCGCCCAACUGACGCUGAAGCACGAAAGCGUGGGUAGCGAACAGGAUUAGAUACCCCAGUAGUC
rnacentral:rRNA from 1 species